GGAGAAGUCAACUCUCCUCUCCAUAGAGCCCACGCAGCUGUCAGCCACGCAGUGAAGGCAUUUGCGGAAGGAGAGGACGACGAUCUGAGCCACGAGAUCAGAGUCCAGGUCGGUCCUGAAGGAGACCAAGGCCAGGAUGCUCUCGCAGACCACGAGCCACAGCUGUUCCGCCAGGCGCGCCAUCUCCUGCAGCACACAGGAAGGGGGGUGGAGG
rnacentral:lncRNA from 1 species